rnacentral:rRNA from 1 species
UUGAAGGCUGAAAUUCGCCUUCAUGAAGCCGGAAUUGCUAGUAAUGGCAGGUCAGCAUACUGCCGUGAAUACGUUCCCGGGCCCUUGUACACACCGCCCGUCACACCAUGAGAGUUGGAGAUACCCGAAGCCUGUGAGCUAACAAACGAGGCAGCAGUCGAAGGUAGAAUCAAUGAUUGGGGUGAAGUCGUAACAAGGUAUC